GACGUCGAUAUUCUACGUCAUCAACACGAGCAAGUUUGGUGUCAUAAACACGAGCAAGUUUGGUGUUUAUGACGUCGAUAUUCGACGUCAUAAGCACGAGCAAGUUUGUGUUUAUGACGUCGAUAUUCGACGUCAUAAACACGAGCAAGUUUGGUGUUUAUGACGUCGAUAUUCGACGUCAUAAACACGAGCAAGUUUGGUGUUUAUGACGUGCAAGUUUGUUGUUGAUGACGUCGAUAUUCGACGUC
rnacentral:miRNA from 1 species